rnacentral:rRNA from 1 species
UGUGUAGGCGGGCUUGUAAGUGUCUUGUGAAAUCCCACGGCUUAACCGUGGAAUGGCUGGGCAUGCUGCAAGUCUUGAGCUGCUUAGGGGUCGGUGGAACAAAUGGUGGAGCGGUGAAAUGCGUAGAUAUCAUUUGGAACGCCAACGGUGAAAACAGCCGACUGGGAGCACGCUGACGCUGAGACACGAAAGCCAGGGGAGCGAACGGGAUUAGAUACCCCGGUAGUCCUGGCCGUAAACGAUGUCAACUAGAUCGUGGUUCCUUUGACGGGAUCACGUUCGCAGCAAAAGUGCUAAGUUGACCGCCUGGGAAGUACGGUCGCAAGGCUAAA